GAGGGUAUUGCUCAAGUGCUAGAGCACAUACUUGGCACACAUGAGGUCCUGGGUUUAAUCCCCAGCACCUCCU
rnacentral:tRNA from 1 species